rnacentral:rRNA from 1 species
UAAGCGCGAGUCAUCAGCUCGCGU